CUAGAAGUGCCCUCUCUAUGGCGCAUCACUCAUUGAUUCCAGAUGGGCAACAUUCUGCUUCGCAAUCAAAGAGCAUAGUUUUUGCCUGCUAUCAUUGCUUACAUAUGAGAGUAGAGAUAAUUAAUUGUGCUCCUGACUUGCUUUUCUAACCUAAGUGUUCCUAGGAUUGCCUUGUUUAAUUGCAUCUGAAUAUUAGCUGCCUGAUAAGGGUAGAGAUAAAUGCCUUUUCCUCUUAUAUUUAUCUUUAUGUCGGUGGCGCUCUUGUUUAAUUUCUCAACGGUUUUUGCCGCUGCCAGUUGUUGGAUUCAUCAGACACAUUGCCUUUUAGACUUGGCAGUGGAUUUGGGAUUAUUGAUGGCCUAGCCACUGAACAGCGAAUGACGGAGUCAGAUGUGGCUUGAAGCGCAAAUGCUUCACCGAACUUAAUAAAACUCAUACCUGCACAUGGAGCAGUCCUGAAUGGUUCACCAUUCAAGACACCACAAAACUUUAGAAGUAUCCAGACUUGCUAAACUUUUUAUUCAUUAACAGUGAGAGAAAGAUGUCUUGACAAUUUGUCCGCUGGAAAAUCUUAUUUGCUAUUUGUUUCAUGUAGGUUUUGUAAUUGCUUGAAGUUGUCCAGUUCAGAUGUCCAUACACUUCAAUGAAAUACCCUCAGCUGCUUUCCAAUCUGAGAGUUGAAUCGAAGGUGUGCAUUUGAACCCGUGAAAUUAUUAUUUUGUUUUUUCGUAUCUCAUCAGUUUUUUGAUUCUUAGAUUGAAGAGAUCCUACGGAAUUCUACAACAUCUGAAUUUGGUAGUGUAUAUUAUUUUUCGGAGAGAGGUGAUUGAAUGAUUGAUCUUGAUGUGUUCCAUCAAAAGCUUAUCUAGGUUGCUUGUUCAGUCCUGUUCAUAUUGGGUUUGAGAUUAUUAUGUUCUUCAAGUUGCUUCUCUUGAUGUUUAGAUGUCUCAAGAACUGCGCACACAAUUGAGCGAGUCUGAGAAAGGAGAGCUAAAAGAAUCGUUCCAUCAUAUGCUGAAAUGGGCCUGGAGAUAUAAUAAAUAUCUUGAAGAACAGGCAGCCCAGCUUCACAUGUUAGCUAGCUGGUCGAAAACUGUUGAAGUGAGUUGUGUGUGUGCAUGACCACUUAAUCUUUUCUGUUGGGAAUUUCAUAUUGUAACCCGCUUAUUGUUAAUUUCAGGUAGCUGUAUCAAGAAGUAAUAAUUUUAAGACAUUGAAGUUCAGAACCUCUAUUGAAACUCUUUCGUAGUAUUAUAUGAACUUCUGUAUUUGAACUCUUUCAUAGACGUUUAUACUGAGGUUGCUCUUCUAUAGACAUUUAUAGAGGUUGCUCUUUUAUAGACAUUUCGAAGCAGGCCGCUAAGCUAAGCCCAAGUCUCGAAUCAGGAUUGUCGUCGUUCGUCAGUCCCAACUAGGAGAUUGUGGCGGCAGCGGUGGGUUUUGGGUCGGCGAGCUGCAGGGAUUUGCUGGACGCACGCCAUCACAUGUCGAGCCACACAUAGUGACCGAUGGUGGCGGAUUAGAGUUGGAAUUCAAGAGGUUUGUGUGGUUUCAGUUAUCCGAUGAUUGGGCGAGAGCGGAGCAACAGAGGCCGGCCAAGAACAUGACCAGGGAUAACACAUCUUGCUUGAUUUCCCGAGCGACCCAAGGUUGGUUGCAUCCUGCAUGACCUCAUAUUGUUCAUGAGAGUUUUGUGAUGUUCUUUUUUUAGAGAAGUUUUGUGAUCUUAAUUCAUGAGACAUUUGACGUGAUACUAUGUGGCUGUAAACGUAAUCUGCAAUUCAGAGCAAACAGAGUGAACAAACCAAGGACAUGCAGGUUAGUCCGUUAGUGUCUUACUUUUCUUUUUGUAAUUCUAUCGUACUGUAUAGUUAGUACAAAAUCAUCAAAUAUUCAGGAUAUGUUUAUAAUUUUGUGAAACUGAAAUGUGCAACAUGUUCAGUGGACUGGUGAAUUAUAAUUUUGUGAAACUGAAAUGUGUUACUGAAACCUGACUGGUGAUGAACUAACCGAUUCACACAAAGGCUUGCUGAUAACAACUUGAGUUGGCCGAGUCUCGCCGAGUUGAGCGUGGAGUAGAAGGUGUCGAGUGAACUUGAGUCAGUGUCAUUCGCUGUAAUGAUCGCCCGGGCGGCCGUGUAGCUGUCUUAGAUGGAGUCCAGGGGGAAGACCAAGAGGAGGUGCGAUAAGAUUGAGCUUUCCAGAAUUUUGGGGAGGUGGCGCUUGUCGCACUGCAAAACUUUUAUUUGUAUAUGUUGCAUGCUACUACCUCCUAAUCAAUAUGUCAUUGAAAUGAAGUAGAUGCAGCUCUUCAUAGAUAUUGUCACAUGUUCUGGUUUGCAGGUUAAAUAUUUGAUGCCCUCAUUUUGGUAAUGAGAGCAAUGCAAUAUUCUGAAGGUCA